AUCCUGGUCCUUAGUGUCUACAUCCUGGUCCUCAGUGUCCAGAAGCAGUUUCCAGGAUUUUUGGUUUUUGUUUUUUUGUUUUUGAGUCCAUUAAUUCCUUGCCUGAAACUAAAGCAACUCUGAAUGUAACAUUAGUGUAGGAGGAAAGCCUGACAAUUUCCUUUAGUCAUCAUAUUGCUCUCAGAGGAGAGGAAGGUUGGAUUGGUGGAGCCAAAGGGAUCAAGAACAACACAAGAACACAGGCCACAGAAUCAACUGACUGGGACUCAGGAGAAUCUUCUCAUGUCCUCCCAAGGACAUGCCUCUGAGCUUGUGUAUACUUCUUGGUCUAUCUGCAGGUCUACAUCUCCUCACCUCACAAGAACACGAAUCAAACAAAAUUACGAUCAACCCAAGUAGUAUCAUUUUGAUGCCAGUUCAAAGGAACUAUUACUAAAUAAUGCCAUACUCUUGGGUGCUGGAAGUUUGACCUGUUAUACGUGGAUUUUGCAGAGCACAAUUCAACAUAUAACACUAGAAAAACGAUAUACACAGAAUCUUCAUGAUUUGACCUGGCAGGGUGUUGACCUCAUAGUAAAACACAGUCCUCAAAGAUUUUUACAGAAACAAUCAGUGGGACAAUUUAAUGUCACAACUCUGUAAGACAGAUACCAGUUGGAACGUGGUAUUCUAAAGAUCUUCCAAAAGAUGCAUGAAGAGCCUUAAAUCUGUACACCUUGUCAUUUUACACAGUUGUUGGGGCUACUAUGUAGAAACUGAAGGCUUAGACAAAGUUGGAACCUGCCUGAACACAGAAGAUGCUAGCAACGGGCAUUGACUCCCAGCAAGGAAUUGUAGAUGCCCAAGUCCUAACUGCUUAAAGAAGCCUCUCAUUAGCCAUUAGUUAAGGACUUCCCUUGCUAUACCCUACAGGAGACAGAAUGGCCAACUGACAGUGAAACAGCCACAAGCAACAAACCUUGAGAAGUAUAAGAAGCUGUGCCUGCUGAACUUGCUGAAGUCAGUGAAGAUUUGAUGGUAUGGGUGUCCACAAAGCCACAACAGCAGAAAAGCCAGAGCACGGACAAAAUCCUGAGGAGGCCUCUUGCUCCACAUCACAGACAUCUUACCCUCUGAAUCUGCAACCAAAGGCUUCAUUGUUGCUGAAGAGCUGUCCCCAUUUUAUAGAAUUUUAUAUGAAUACAAUUAUAUGGCAUUACUCUGCUUGCAGUAUUUAUUGAAUUAACAUCACUGGUUGCCUGCAUUAUAUGGAUAAAUCCUGCUAUACUGAUUACCUUGAGAUGGCUCUGUAGGCUAUUUCCAAUUUGGAGAUACAGUGAAUGAAGGCUUUAUAAUCAAAUACCAUUGUGUGCAAAUGCAUAUGUUAUUGCAUCUUUGCUAACACACAGAGUUGUCAGACUUCUUCAUUUCAGUCUGACAGAAUUGUUUAGCAGUAAUUCAUUGUCUUUUCAUUGGCCUCUGAAAUAGUUAUUGCAGAGAUAUAUUAUUAUGCAUUUAGCAAUGAUGUGACCUUCUCUUAGCUGUAUUCAAUCUGUGUUGAGCCCCUGCAUGCCCCAGUGAGACUUUCUAACUCACCAGUCCUGUGGCUACUUGGGGGAAAGACUCUGAGGGAAAACAAAAAUAGAGGGGAACAAAAAGAAAAAUCAAGCCUUUGCAGGAUGGUUUCCUGUAAAUUUGGGCUGUAUGUCACACUUUCCCCAAAAUAAAAUAAACUUCCUCUUUGUCUUUUCCCACUA